GACGAACGCUGGCGGCGUGCUUAACACAUGCAAGUCGAACGGAAAGGCCCUGCUUUUGUGGGGUGCUCGAGUGGCGAACGGGUGAGUAACACGUGAGUAGCCUGCCCCUGACUUUGGGAUAACUUCAGGAAACUGGGGCUAAUACCGGAUAGGAGCUCCUGCUGCAUGGUGGGGGUUGGAAAGUUUCGGCGGUUGGGGAUGGACUCGCGGCUUAUCAGCUUGUUGGUGGGGUAGUGGCUUACCAAGGCUUUGACGGGUAGCCGGCCUGAGAGGGUGACCGGCCACAUUGGGACUGAGAUACGGCCCAGACUCCUACGGGAGGCAGCAGUGGGGAAUAUUGCACAAUGGGCGGAAGCCUGAUGCAGCAACGCCGCGUGCGGGAUGACGGCCUUCGGGUUGUAAACCGCUUUCGCCUGUGACGAAGCGUGAGUGACGGUAAUGGGUAAAGAAGCACCGGCUAACUACGU
rnacentral:rRNA from 1 species